rnacentral:rRNA from 1 species
UACGUAGGGUGCAAGCGUUAAUCGGAAUUACUGGGCGUAAAGCGUGCGCAGGCGGCUUUGCAAGACAGAUGUGAAAUCCCCCGGGCUUAACCUGGGAACUGCAUUUGUGACUGCAUGGCUGGAGUGCGGCAGAGGGUGAUGGAAUUCCGCGUGUAGCAGUGAAAUGCGUAGAUAUGCGGAGGAACACCGAUGGCGAAGGCAAUCCCCUGGGCCUG